GACGAACGCUGGCGGCGCGCCUAACACAUGCAAGUCGAACGGAGCAUUUGAGCUUGCUCAAAUGCUUAGUGGCGAACGGGUGAGUAACACGUGAGCAAUCUGCCUUCGAGUGGGGGACAACAGUUGGAAACGACUGCUAAUACCGCAUAAGACCACAGCUCCGCAUGGAGCAGCGGUCAAAGGAUUUAUUCGCUUGAAGAUGAGCUCGCGUCCGAUUAGAUAGUUGGUGAGGUAACGGCCCACCAAGUCGACGAUCGGUAGCCGGACUGAGAGGUUGAACGGCCACAUUGGGACUGAGACACGGCCCAG
rnacentral:rRNA from 1 species